rnacentral:rRNA from 1 species
UUAUUGGAGAGUUUGAUCCUGGCUCAGGACGAACGCUGGCGGCGUGCCUAAUACAUGCAAGUCGAG